rnacentral:lncRNA from 1 species
AGCUAAGGGGGGUUUAGUUCCUCAUACUCACAAAGCAAAGAUAAACAAAUUUAGAUAUUGAGAAUAAAAGAAUGAAAACACCUAAAAACGCUUCAACAAUCCAACUUGAAUGGCAAGCACGUCCAAGGGUCCUCCUUCUUCUCUUUGUUGCAGCACAAGGUGUGGUUUGAUGGAUGCAUAUGGAUAUAUGGAAGGGAAUGG